CUACAAAAGGCGCUGGUCCCCAUAUUCUAACAGUGCCAUCAUCAGAGGCGCUGGCCAUCAUGGAUGGAAUCUGCGGGUUCCAGCUCACACAGUUAACAGUACGUGUGUGCCCUGUCAGCUCCGCAAUUGGCAGCUCGCUACGCUUGUGCCAAAUAUAUACUUUGUGAUCUUCGCUGCCACUCGCAAUGAAGUCUUCAUUAUGACCCCCAAAACAUGAGUGAAUUGUGUAAAAUCCUUGUGUAACUCCUUGAUACUUCCUCACUAAAACUCUGUCUUGUAAGUCCCAUAAGUGAACUCCCUGUGAAUCAGAAGUACAGAAGAUUUUUUGUUUUAAACCAUUGGACGUUACCCACUGCAUUCUUUUGAAACUUUUUAUAGAAGUGUAAACAUGAAAGUGCACUACUUCAGACAACUCUGGUAGUGUUACUCAAUCAAGAGAGUAAAGAUAUUCCAAAUUGCUAGCUUCAACUUCCUGGCUGUAGCACCUUCCAUUUUGAAAACUAUACUUAAUCACGGUCCCCAAACCAGAAAUACAUGUAUUUUAAUCUAAUCCUAACACUUCCUACACUCCC
rnacentral:lncRNA from 1 species